UGUACUUAUACAAUAAUUUUUCUGGUUUAUAUGAAUAUGAAUACAGUUUAUACAUGAAAUAUCAUAUAGUUAUUCGCAAAUAUGUCGGUAUAUUGCGUCACAGUACUAUUCAUUUCAUCUAGUUUAAGCGCGAACGCAUACCUACAGUAUACAGUUGUAUUGUACAUGUAAACUGAAUGUUUUAGGACUUUUAUUUAAAAAAACAUCAAAAAUGCGGAGAUUUGGAAUUGGAAGAACGCUGCUGUCACAUCAUGACGAUGCCUCAAUGCGUAUGGGUUACUUUGCAAGUCUCAAGGAAUAUAUAAUGGGAUUUUUUAAAGGCAAAAAAGGAGGUACCGCUGCUGCUGCUUCAAAGUAUUCGUUAUUAUCAAGUACAUCAACAUGGUCUUCAGAAAGUGAUAAGGAAAUUAAGAAGUAAGUAUUUUCUUGCCAUUGCUUUCAAUUUUCAAACUAGCCAAUUAGUUAUUUUAAUAUAAAAUAACUCGCAAAGUUAGCGUACUGUACAUUAUAUUUACACCUAUUAUUUUUAAGGCGUCUUCUUCUGCGUAAAAAGUCGUUUCAAAUAGAAGAUAGCGACCAUAAAGACACAGAAGAAAAAGAAGAUUAUCUUAUCGUUUUAUUCAUUCGUUUUCUAACUGGUGUUGCGCUCACACAAGGAUUUUAUUUGGUCUUAACAUACAACAGCAAAUGGAAGCCCAGCAAAGCUGCGUGGUGGACUGGUACCAUAGGUUUUCUUGUUGCUCUGGGAAUGGCGUUUUCUAAAAUGGUUCGAACAGUUGUUGCGCUACUGUUACCAUCUUUUUGUACCAGCAAAGGCAGGACUAUUAUAAUGGCGUUCUGCAUGAUGCUGCUAGUAACUGGACCUACUACGAAUAUAACAUACAACUAUAAGCAGAUGUCUCGCUCGCUAACCUGCGGGGAUGAACUGGGAUACAAUGUGUCUCAGGUAUGAACUACGUGUUAUACUUUUAUUCAUAUUUAAUGAUGUAUGCGUGUAUCAGUUACAUAAGUAGUAACUUGUAAGCUGGCACGUAGUGUAUGAAACAAAACAGAAAACACUCGUGUUCUUGUUUUACCGGCCACGCGACAGCAAUAACGCAUGUUAUACACGGAAUACACCCAUUCAUUUAUAAUGUUAAAGGGUCUUAAAGCGCUGGUACAUGACGGUCAAAACGCCGUUCUAUCUACAAUGGAAGACACUGUUGAUACAAUAAUUGAAGCAGUCGAGACCGCGCAAGAAAUGUACACAGAAUUCGCUGCAAACCUACAAUCUAUUGGUCGUGUUGUUAAUAGAAUGAACCACUUUAUACGAAACAUGGGAAGCGUCUGCAGUCAAAAACUGGGGUCAUUUUUAUGCAUUAUACCAAGAUUUGUGGCUAAACAGGCGAAGAAACUAAUUACUGCUCCGGUCAAAAAAGCCAUCGAAAGAAUAAAGGUU